rnacentral:rRNA from 1 species
GACGAACGCUAGCGGCAGGCCUAACACAUGCAAGUCGAACGGUAACAGGUCCUUCGGGAUGCUGACGAGUGGCGCACGGGUGCGUAACGCGUAUACGUCCUACCCUUUAGUGGGAGAUACCCCAGAGAAAUUUGGAAUAAUACCCCAUAGUCUUAUUUGAGUACCUGCUUAGAUAAGUAAAGUUACGGCGCUAAAGGAUGGGUAUGCGUCUGAUUAGCUAGUUGGUGAGGUAACGGCUCACCAAGGCAACGAUCAGUAGCUGGUCUGAGAGGAUGAUCAGCCACACGGGAACUGAGACACGGUCCCGACUCCUACGGGAGGCAGCAGUGAGGAAUAUUGGACAAUGGGCGGAAGCCUGAUCCGGCCAUGCCGCGUGAAGGAAGACGGCCCUUUGGGUUGUAAACUUCUUUUAUCUGGGGAUAAUAAGGUACUAUACGUACCGAUGCAGGUACCAGAUGAAUAAGCACCGGCUAACUACGUGCCAGCAGCCGCGGUAAUACGUAGGGUGCAAGCGUUGUCCGGAAUCAUUGGGUUUAAAGGGUCCGCAGGCGGGCAAUUAAGUCAGGGGUGAAAUGGUGCGGCUCAACCGUAGCACUGCCCUUGAUACUG